rnacentral:rRNA from 1 species
AGAGUUUGAUCCUGGCUCAGAUUGAACGCUGGCGGUAGGCUUAACACAUGCAAGUCGAGCGGAAACGAUGUAGCUCGCUACAGGCGUCGAGCGGCGGACGGGUGAGUAACGCGUAGGAAUCUGCCUAGUAGUGGGGGACAACCUGUGGAAACGCAGGCUAAUACCGCAUAAGCCCUGAGGGGGAAAGGAGGGGAUCUUCGGACCUUUCGCUAUUAGAUGAGCCUGCGUGAGAUUAGCUAGUUGGUGAGGUAAAGGCUCACCAAGGCGACGAUCUCUAGCUGGUCUGAGAGGAUGAUCAGCCACACUGGGACUGAGACACGGCCCAGACUCCUACGGGAGGCAGCAGUGGGGAAUAUUGGACAAUGGGCGCAAGCCUGAUCCAGCCAUACCGCGUGUGUGAAGAAGGCCCUAGGGUUGUAAAGCACUUUCAGAAGGGAGGAAAGGUUAGUGAUUAAUACUUACUAGCUGUGACGUUACCUUCAGAAGAAGCACCGGCUAACUCUGUGCCAGCAGCCGCGGUAAU